rnacentral:rRNA from 1 species
UCCUACGGGAGGCAGCAGUGGGGAAUAUUGGACAAGGGGCGCAAGCCUGAUCCAGCAAUGCCGCGUGGGUGAAGAAGGUUUUCGGAUUGUAAAGCCCUUUUGGCGGGGACGAUGAUGACGGUACCCGCAGAAUAAGCUCCGGCUAACUUCGUGCCAGCAGCCGCGGUAAUACGAAGGGGGCUAGCGUUGCUCGGAAUGACUGGGCGUAAAGGGCGCGUAGGCGGACUGCACAGUCAGGCGUGAAAUUCCUGGGCUUAACCUGGGGACUGCGUCUGAGACGUGUGAUCUAGAGUGGGGAAGAGGGUCGUGGAAUUUCCAGUGUAGAGGUGAAAUUCGUAGAUAUUGGAAAGAACACCGGUGCCGAAGGCGGCGACCUGGUCCUUUACUGACGCUGAGGCGCGAAAGCGUGGGGAGCAAACAGGAUUAGAUACCCUGGUAGUCCACGCCGUAAACGAUG